GGUCAGGACGAACGCUGGCGGCGUGCCUAACACAUGCAAGUCGAGCGAGGAGAUCCUCGGGAUGAUCCUAGCGGCGGACGGGUGAGUAACACGUGGGCAACCUGCCUCAUAGAGAGGAAUAGCCUUCCGAAAGGGAGAUUAAUACCUCAUAACAUUGCAGUUUCGCAUGGAACAGCAAUUAAAGGAGCAAUCCACUAUGAGAUGGGCCCGCGGCGCAUUAGCUAGUUGGUGAGGUAACGGCUCACCAAGGCGACGAUGCGUAGCCGACCUGAGAGGGUGAUCGGCCACAUUGGGACUGGGACACGGCCCAGACUCCUACGGGAGGCAGCAGUGGGGAAUAUUGCACAAUGGGGGAAACCCUGAUGCAGCCAACGCCGCGUGAGUGAUGACGGCCUUCGGGUUGUAAAGCUCUGUCUUCAGGGACGAUAAUGACGGUACCUGAGGAGGAAGCCACGGCUAACUACGUGCCAGCAGCAGC
rnacentral:rRNA from 1 species